UGGGGAAUCUUGCACAAUGGGGGAAACCCUGAUGCAGCGACGCCGCGUGAGCGAUGAAGGUUUUCGAAUCGUAAAGCUCUGUCCUAUGGGAAGAUAAUGACGGUACCAUGGGAGGAAGCCCCGGCUAACUACGUGCCAGCAGCCGCGGUAAUACGUAGGGGGCGAGCGUUGUCCGGAAUUACUGGGCGUAAAGGGUGCGCAGGCGGCUUUACAAGUUGGAUGUGAAAUAUUGUGGCUCAACCACAAACGUGCAUCCAAAACUGCAAAGCUUGAGUUAAGGAGAGGUAAGUGGAAUUCCUGGUGUAGCGGUGGAAUGCGUAGAUAUCAGGAGGAAUACCGGUGGCGAAGGCGACUUACUGGACUUAAACUGACGCUCAGGCACGAAAGCGUGGGGAGCAAACAGG
rnacentral:rRNA from 1 species